rnacentral:rRNA from 1 species
GGAAUAUUGGUCAAUGGGGGCAACCCUGAACCAGCCAUGCCGCGUGCAGGAAGACUGCCCUAUGGGUUGUAAACUGCUUUUAUCCGGGAAUAAACCUCAUUACGUGUAAUGAGCUGAACGUACCGGAAGAAUAAGGAUCGGCUAACUCCGUGCCAGCAGCCGCGGUAAUACGGAGGAUCCAAGCGUUAUCCGGAUUUAUUGGGUUUAAAGGGUGCGUAGGCGGCCUGUUAAGUCAGAGGUGAAAGACGGUAGCUCAACUAUCGCAGUGCCUUUGAUACUGACGGGCUUGAAUAAACUAGAGGUAGGCGGAAUGAGACAAGUAGCGGUGAAAUGCAUAGAUAUGUCUCAGAACACCGAUUGCGAAGGCAGCUUACUAUGGUUUUAUUGACGCUGAGGCACGAAAGCGUGGGGAUCAAACAGGAUUAGAUACCCUAG